UACGGAGGGUGCGAGCGUUGUCCGGAAUCACUGGGCUUAAAGGGCGCGUAGGCGGGCCGGACGGUCCGGGGUGAAAUCCCCCGCUCAACGGGGGAACGCCUCGGACACCGCCGGCCUCGAGGGGGUAGGGGCGCGCGGAACGCUGGGUGGAGCGGUGAAAUGCGUUGAUAUCCAGCGGAACUCCGGUGGCGAAGGCGGCGCCGCUGGACCC
rnacentral:rRNA from 1 species